rnacentral:rRNA from 1 species
CGGGAAACUGGGGAUAAUACCCUAUAGGCUAUUGAUGCUGGAAUGCUCGUUAUCUGAAAGUUCCGGCGCCGCAGGAUGGUUCUGCGGCCGAUUAGGUUGUUGUUGGGGUAACGGCCCAACAAGCCUGUAAUCGGUACGGGUUGUGGGAGCAAGAGCCCGGAGAUGGAUUCUGAGACAUGAAUCCAGGCCCUACGGGGCGCAGCAGGCGCGAAAACUUUACAAUGCGGGAAACCGUGAUAAGGGAACCCUGAGUGCCCGUAGAAUCGGGCUGUCGAUCAGUGUAAAUAGCAGGGGAAGAAAGGGCCGGGCAAGACCGGUGCCAGCCGCCGCGGUAACA